UACGGAGGAUGCAAGCGUUAUCCGGAUUUAUUGGGUUUAAAGGGUGCGUAGGCGGCUUAUUAAGCGUGAGGUGAAAUCCCGGAGCUCAACCCCGGCACUGCCUCGCGAACUGGUGAGCUGGAAUGCUCCUGCCGUGGGAGGAAUGUGUGGUGUAGCGGUGAAAUGCAUAGAGAUCACACAGAACACCGAUUGCGAAGGCAUCUCACGAAGGGGCGAUUGACGCUGAGGCACGAAAGCGUGGGGAU
rnacentral:rRNA from 1 species